CAAGGAAUAGUUUAAUUAGAAUGUCAGCUUUGGGUGUUGAUGGUGGGGGAUAGCUCCUUCCUUGA
rnacentral:tRNA from 1 species